ensembl:snRNA U6 U6 spliceosomal RNA
CUCUUUCCCUAGUAGGGUGAUUGGAAGGAUAAAGAGAAGAUUAGCAUGGGCCCUGCACAAUGUAUGUAUUUUCUUUAGUAAAAUGUCUGUUCAAGACUUUU